rnacentral:rRNA from 1 species
CGAAGGCUCCAAAGGAAGCCACGGCUAACUCUGUGCCAGCAGCCGCGGUAAUACAGAGGUGGCAAGCGUUGUUCGGAAUCAUUGGGCGUAAAGAGCACGUAGGUGGGUUUAUAAGUCAGAUGUGAAAGCCUUCUGUUCAACGGGAGAAUUGCAUCUGAAACUGUAAGUCUUGAGUAUAGGAGGGGAGAAUGGAACUUCUGGUGGAGCGGUGAAAUGCGUAGAUAUCAGAAGGAACGCCGGCGGCGAAAGCGAUUCUCUGGCCUAUUACUGACACUCAGUGUGCGAAAGCUAGGGGAGCAAACGGGAUUAGAUACCCCGGUAGUCCUAGCUGUAAA